rnacentral:rRNA from 1 species
CUUAUCGGUGAAGGGCUGACCUCAAAUCAGG